GUGAGUCAUCGAAUCUUUGAACGCACAUUGCGCCCCUUGGUAUUCCAUGGGGCAUGCCUGUUCGAGCGUCAUUUGUACCUUCAAGCUCUGCUUGGUGUUGGGUGUUUGUCUCGUGUAGACUCGCCUCAAAGCAAUUGGCAGCCGGCGUAUUGAUUUCGGAGCGCAGUACAUCUCGCGCUUUGCACUCAUAACGACGACGUCCAAAAGUACAUUUUUACACUCUUGACCUCGGAUCAGGUAGGGAUACCCGCUGAACUUAAGCAUAUCAAUAAGCGGAGGA
rnacentral:misc_RNA from 1 species